UAGCGCUAGCGUGCCGGCUAGGGAAUUCUGGGACUUGGAGUCCAGGCAUCUUCAAGUUGCCAAAGUUAAGAAUCUCUGCUUUAACAGGUUGCCUUUUCUGUCCAGCCGGUCGGCCUAUUUCUGGACGGAGGGAGUUAUUCGUAGAAAAUAAGAUGCCGACAAGUUCUAUAAGAAGUCAUCUUGCAAAGUUAUCUGAAAUGAGUUUGAACCUGUUGGUCUAAGUGUCCAGUUGUGUCCAGAUCUGCAGCAAAAUGAUUACAGAUACUUACCUUAAAUAUAAAUAUUCACAAACAAUCAUAGUAUCAAUUUUACAUACAAAAAUCAUGUAAAUACUAUUUAUGUCAACAUGUGUGACUUGCAUUUUAUUUUCACUGUAAUUUUAUGUUAAGCACAAAUUUUAUGUUAAGCACAUUACUGAACACUGUGGAAGUACAGAAAGUACUGUUGUAUUGUAGUAUUUUGCCGACUGACCCACCAAAUUACAUGUUGCAUGCAGAUAUACUAAACUCUUUCCCAGUGCCUUGGAUUUUGCUUUUUUAUCUCUAUCUCUCUUCUCCAGAGCAAUGUCUUAUUGAUAAACAACAGGAAGGCAACAGUGGCAUGGAAUGGUUAACUAUUCUCUGACAAGUUCUUUUCCGUUUGGAAGAAAAAGCUGCAAUUUGGAGGCAUUGAACUGGAGCAGAAAAAUGUCUAAUCAAGAAAUGCCAAGGUCUAUUGGUUCCUUUCCCCCCGACCCAGUGGGUAGGUACCAAAAAGGCAUUAAGAACAACUUGCACACGUCUGACAGAAAUAUCUAUAUUGGUUAAAAUCUUUAUU